rnacentral:piRNA from 1 species
UGUAAGGAUUCUUUACAUUUUCUGGAUAGG